rnacentral:rRNA from 1 species
AUUGAACGCUGGCGGCAUGCCUUACACAUGCAAGUCGAACGGUAACAGGUCUUCGGAUGCUGACGAGUGGCGAACGGGUGAGUAAUACAUCGGAACGUGCCUAGUAGUGGGGGAUAACUACUCGAAAGAGUGGCUAAUACCGCAUGAGAUCUACGGAUGAAAGCAGGGGAUCGCAAGACCUUGUGCUACUAGAGCGGCCGAUGGCAGAUUAGGUAGUUGGUGGGAUAAAAGCUUACCAAGCCGACGAUCUGUAGCUGGUCUGAGAGGACGAUCAGCCACACUGGGACUGAGACACGGCCCAGACUCUUACUGGAGGGAGCAGUGGGGAAUUUUGGACAAUUGGCGCAAGCCUGAUCCAGCAAUGCCGCGUGCAGGAUGAAUGCCUUCGGGUUGUAAACUGCUUUUGUACGGAACGAAAAGCCCUGGGUUAAUACCCUGGGGUCAUGACGGUACCGUAAGAAUAAGCACCGGCUAACUACGUGCCAGCCGCCGCCGUAACAC